rnacentral:rRNA from 1 species
AGUAUUAAGUAUCAUUCUAAACUCAAAUACAUUGGCAGUCAUAAUUAUUUCGAGGAACUCGCUAUAUAAUCGUAAAUACUCGCUCAAUUUCACCUUAUAUCAAUAGUUUAUAUACCGCCGUUAUUUAAAGGAUAUUUACCCCUAAAAAAAAGUUUUAAAAAAUCAGGUCAAGGUGUAGCCUAUUAUAAGGUUAUAGUAAGUUACAUUAUAAUAAUAUUAGGAUUAAAUCUAAAAAGAUGCCUGAAAAAGAAUCUAUAAUUACAAAUAUAAUAAUAAUAUGCUUAGAAAUAUAAAUUAGUGAUGU